AUUGAACGCUGGCGGCAGGCCUAACACAUGCAAGUCGAGCGGCAGCGGGGGGAAGCUUGCUUCCCCGCCGGCGAGCGGCGGACGGGUGAGUAAUGUCUGGGAAACUGCCUGAUGGAGGGGGAUAACUACUGGAAACGGUAGCUAAUACCGCAUAACGUCUUCGGACCAAAGUGGGGGACCUUCGGGCCUCAUGCCAUCAGAUGUGCCCAGAUGGGAUUAGCUUGGUGGUGGGGUAACGGCUCACCAAGGCGACGAUCCCUAGCUGGUCUGAGAGGAUGACCAGCCACACUGGAACUGAGACACGGUCCAGACUCCUACGGGAGGCAGCAGUGGGGAAUAUUGCACAAUGGGAGCAAGCCUGAUGCAGCCAUGCCGCGUGUAUGAAGAAGGCCUUCGGGUUGUAAAGUACUUUCAGCGGGGAUGAAGGUGUUGAGGUUAAUAACCGCAGCAAUUGACGUUACCCGCAGAAGAAGCACCGGCUAACUCCGUGCCAGCCGCCGCAGUAAAAC
rnacentral:rRNA from 1 species